GGUCGCUUAGCGCAGCGGUAGCGCACUUCAUUCACAUUGAAGGGGCCAGUGGUUCGAAUCCACUAGCGACCA
rnacentral:tRNA from 1 species